GGUUAGGUUUGGGUUAGGUUUGGGUUAGGUUUGGGUUAGGUUUGGGUUAGGUUUGGGUUAGGUUUGGGUUAGGUUUGGGUUAGGUUUGGGUUAGGUUUGGGUUAGGUUUGGGUUAGGUUUGGGUUAGGUUUGGGUUAGGUUUGGGUUAGGUUUGGGUUAGGUUUGGGUUAGGUUUGGGUUAGGUUUGGGUUAGGUUUGGGUUAGGUUUGGGUUAGGUUUGGGUUAGGUUUGGGUUAGGUUUGGGUUAGGUUUGGGUUAGGUUUGGGUUAGGUUUGGGUUAGGUUUGGGUUGGGUUUGGGUUAGGUUUGGGUUAGGUUUGGGUUAGGUUUGGGUUAGGUUUGGGUUAGGUUUGGGUUAGGUUUGGGUUAGGUUUGGGUUAGGUUUGGGUUAGGUUUGGGUUAGGUUUGGGUUAGGUUUGGGUUAGGUUAGGUUUGGGUUAGGUUAGGU